rnacentral:rRNA from 1 species
GAUGAACGCUGGCGGCGUGCCUAAUACAUGCAAGUCGAGCGAACGGACGAGAAGCUUGCUUCUCUGAUGUUAGCGGCGGACGGGUGAGUAACACGUGGAUAACCUACCUAUAAGACUGGGAUAACUUCGGGAAACCGGAGCUAAUACCGGAUAAUAUUUUGAACCGCAUGGUUCAAAAGUGAAAGACGGUCUUGCUGUCACUUAUAGAUGGAUCCGCGCUGCAUUAGCUAGUUGGUAAGGUAACGGCUUACCAAGGCAACGAUGCAUAGCCGACCUGAGAGGGAGAUAGGCCACACUGGAACUGAGACACGGUCCAGACUCCUACGGGAGGCAGCAGUAGGGAAUCUUCCGCAAUGGGCGAAAGCCUGACGGAGCAACGCCGCGUGAGUGAUGAAGGUCUUCGGAUCGUAAAACUCUGUUAUUAGGGAAGAACAUAUGUGUAAGUAACUGUGCACAUCUUGACGGUACCUAAUCAGAAAGCCACGGCUAACUACGUG